rnacentral:misc_RNA from 1 species
GAUGAAGAACGCAGCGAAAUGCGAUAAGUAAUGUGAAUUGCAGAAUUCAGUGAAUCAUCGAAUCUUUGAACGCACAUUGCGCCCCUUGGUAUUCCAUGGGGCAUGCCUGUUCGAGCGUCAUUUGUACCCUCAAGCUUUGCUUGGUGUUGGGCGUCUUGUCGUAUUACGACUCGCCUUAAAUACAUUGGCAGCCGGCACUUUGGCCUAGGAGCGCAGCACAUUUUGCGAUCGUAGCCCGUUGUACUGGCGUCCAUCAAGAACAUUUACCACGUUUGACCUCGGAUCAGGUAGGGAUACCCGCUGAACUUAAGCAUAUCAAUAAGCGGAGGA